rnacentral:misc_RNA from 1 species
UAAAAGAGAGGGUUUUGUUGUUCAAAAAAAAAAAACCCUCUCUUUUAAUAAAUAAAUAUAUCAAAAAAAUCCAGAAAAUACUUGAUGAUGUGACUAUCAGCUAUAAGGACUAAAACCAACAAACAAAAAGAACAUAAUGUACAGAGAAACAAAAGAACUAGGAUGCCUGUGCAAAGAAUGCCUGACUAUGCUUACAUGUAGAAAAAGGGUAACCCUAAAAAUAUAGAAACAAUCUGUCAAUAAUUCAAUAAGGAAUACUUCACACGCAAAACAAUCCUCCCCUUGUCCACCCCAAGCUUCGCUCCUGUUACCAACCAAUGGCCUGGAAUAUCUUGUGGUCCCUUUGACAUUUCGCUUACAUCAACUAUUUUUGCCAGUUUCCCAACAUGGCUUGAACCAUCUUCCUUCUUAUCACUGGAUGCCUUCUCAUUUGAAACUGAUGAUGAUGCCCCAUUGGGUUGUUGUGCAUAAGGAUUGGAAGGACUAUGGUCCCAUACAGAGCGCCUUAUUGUACAACCUGGAACUUUUGAGAAGAGGAGUUUGAGAUGCAACACAUUUUUGGCUCCAAAAUCCCAAACACCAAGCUGAGCACCAGUGACAAUGUGAACACCAGAGAGAUCUCCAAUGGAAGUAUCAGUGUACUCUAUUGGUGCAGUGCUUACAUGGGAGAAGUUCUUCCACUUGAUGGGUUCAAACCAACGGCUGUCUUGCUCCUCAGGACCUUUCCACUUGGGUGCACCUAUAGCUAUGUGUGCAUCCCAAUGUGGCUGAAGAAUUUUGGGAAGAGACACAAGAUGUUGCAAAUGGAUGGAGAGUCUGUUUUGCUUAAUGCCUUCUAGGCUAAGUCUAAGGCCAGUAACUGGCUUACGGCCAACAGUUACCUGAUCUGGGCUGAUAUAGAGCUUGGGGCCCAUCAAGCUGAACUGAAGGGAUUGGCAAACAGGCUCCUUUCUUUGAAGGUUGUUCUGCUCUGGAGCCCAAACCCGAGCAAUUUGGAAAUCCAAGAAAUAUUGCAAAUCCUCUAUGGGUGGCUUGUACUCCAAGUACAAGUCAAUUGCUCUUGCUAAAUGCUUUAAGCCAGGCACUCCUUCAAGCAGAGAAAUGAUUGGUGUAAAAGUCAUAUUAAUAACAUCUGGCGCCAACUGCACAGUUUCUGCCCACUUGGCAUGACUCUGCUCAAGAUCAUCACCUCCUCUCCUUCUAAAAAUGACUGUUACAUCCUUGUCCUUGUAUUUUAAGGGGCCAGCACUUGGUUGACUUCUUGAGUCCUGAAACCUUUGAUCUGUGAUGUCUUUUACAUAGCUCUCAAUGUCUGACACUAGCAAAGAAGAUGACUGGUGCUGCCUUAUGUAGACAACAUCUCUUCCACCAAUUGUUGCAGAUGUGACAAUAUGUGUACCAUAGCUUUCAAUGAAACUUGCCAAGGAUGCAGGAUCCCAGGAGUA